rnacentral:rRNA from 1 species
AGAGUUUGAUCCUGGCUCAGAUUGAACGCUGGCGGCAUGCCUUACACAUGCAAGUCGAACGGCAGCAUAGGAGCUUGCUCCUGAUGGCGAGUGGCGAACGGGUGAGUAAUAUAUCGGAACGUACCCAGGAGUGGGGGAUAACGUAGCGAAAGUUACGCUAAUACCGCAUACGUCCUAAGGGAGAAAGUGGGGGAUCGCAAGACCUCAUGCUCCUGGAGCGGCCGAUAUCUGAUUAGCUAGUUGGUGAGGUAAAGGCUCACCAAGGCAACGAUCAGUAGCUGGUCUGAGAGGACGACCAGCCACACUGGAACUGAGACACGGUCCAGACUCCUACGGGAGGCAGCAGUGGGGAAUUUUGGACAAUGGGCGCAAGCCUGAUCCAGCAAUGCCGCGUGAGUGAAGAAGGCCUUCGGGUUGUAAAGCUCUUUUGUCAGGGAAGAAACGGGCCUUUCUAAUACAGGGGCCUAAUGACGGUACCUGAAGAAUAAGCACCGGCUAACUACGUGCCAGCAGCCGCGGUAAUACGUAGGGUGCAAGCGUUAAUCGGAAUUACUGGGCGUAAAGCGUGCGCAGGCGGUUUUGUAAGACUGUCGUGAAAUCCCCGGGCUUAACCUGGGAAUGGCGAUGGUGACUGCAAGGCUAGAGUUUGGCAGAGGGGGGUAGAAUUCCACGUGUAGCAGUGAAAUGCGUAGAUAUGUGGAGGAACACCGAUGGCGAAGGCAGCCCCCUGGGUCAAAACUGACGCUCAUGCACGAAAGCGUGGGGAGCAAACAGGAUUAGAUACCCUGGUAGUCCACGCCGUAAACGAUGAAUGUUAGCCGUCGGGCAGUAUACUGUUCGGUGGCGCAGCUAACGCAUUAAACAUUCCGCCUGGGGAGUACGGUCGCAAGAUUAAAAC